UACGUAGGAGACGAGUGUUGUCCGGAGUUACUGGGCGUAAAGGGUGCGCAGGUGGCGGCGCGCGUGGGGGGUGAAAUCGCCCGGCUUAACUGGGCGGGGGCCUUCCAGACGGCGUGGCUUGAGCAGCGGAGGGGGACGUGGAAUUCCGGGUGGAGCGGUGAAAUGCGCAGAUAUCAGGAGGAACACCAAUUGCGAAGGCAGCUCGCUGGAACGUUACUGACGCUGAGACGCGGAAGCGUGGGGAGCAAACAGG
rnacentral:rRNA from 1 species